AUUGAACGCUGGCGGCAUGCCUUACACAUGCAAGUCGAACGGCAGCACGGGUGCUUGCACCUGGUGGCGAGUGGCGAACGGGUGAGUAAUACAUCGGAACGUACCUUAUCGUGGGGGAUAACGCAGCGAAAGCUGUGCUAAUACCGCAUACGCCCUGAGGGGGAAAGCGGGGGAUCGCAAGACCUCGCGCGAUUAGAGCGGCCGAUGCCUGAUUAGCUUGUUGGUGGGGUAAAAGCCCACCAAGGCGACGAUCAGUAGCUGGUCUGAGAGGACGAUCAGCCAAACUGGGACUGAGACACGGCCCAGACUCCUACGGGAGGCAGCAGUGGGGAAUUUUGGACAAUGGGGGCAACCCUGAUCCAGCAAUGCCGCGUGAGUGAAGAAGGCCUUCGGGUUGUAAAGCUCUUUUGUCAGGGAAGAAACACCGGCUCUAACACAGUCCGGGAAUGACGGUACCUGAAGAAUAUGCACCGGCUAACUACGUGCCAGCAGCCGCCGUAA
rnacentral:rRNA from 1 species